rnacentral:lncRNA from 1 species
UUCCUGGGCUCCCUCACUGGCUUCGUCCACUUAAACUUUUAACGUACACAUGUAGAGAGCUGAAACUCCAGGGGUAACAUGGGACAGGUCCUCUUGAUUUAAUGAAAACAGAAGAUCAACUGGACCGGGUAGCAAGAAAUAAGGCUUAAGAAGCACUGGGUUGGGCCUCACCCUAUGAGCAGGGAACCCACCUUCCCCCUCAACAAAAGAAAAGAUGACUUUGGAAUGUUCUGGAUUCCCACAGCUGGGAAUGUUCCUACUUUUUUUUCAGUUUCUCUGCAGAAGACAGCAAGAUGCCCCAGGGAAUGUUUGUGAAAAAGGAUGACUGGAUGGGAAGCAAGCU